UUAAGCGACUAAGCGUACACGGUGGAUGCCCUGGCAGUCAGAGGCGAUGAAGGACGUGCUAAUCUGCGAUAAGCGUCGGUAAGGUGAUAUGAACCGUUAUAACCGGCGAUUUCCGAAUGGGGAAACCCAGUGUGAUUCGUCACACUAUCAUUAACUGAAUCCAUAGGUUAAUGAGGCGAACCGGGGGAACUGAAACAUCUAAGUACCCCGAGGAAAAGAAAUCAACCGAGAUUCCCCAGUAGCGGCGAGCGAACGGGGAGAGCCCAGAGCCUGAAUCAGUGUGUGUGUUAGUGGAAGCGUCUGGAAAGGCGCGCGAUACAGGGUGACAGCCCCGUACACAAAAAUGCACAUGCUGUGAGCUCGAUGAGUAGGGCGGGACACGUGGUAUCCUGUCUGAAUAUGGGGGGACCAUCCUCCAAGGCUAAAUACUCCUGACUGACCGAUAGUGAACCAGUACCGUGAGGGAAAGGCGAAAAGAACCCCGGCGAGGGGAGUGAAAAAGAACCUGAAACCGUGUACGUACAAGCAGUGGGAGCCUCUUUAUGGGGUGACUGCGUACCUUUUGUAUAAUGGGUCAGCGACUUAUAUUCUGUAGCAAGGUUAACCGAAUAGGGGAGCCGAAGGGAAACCGAGUCUUAACUGGGCGUUAAGUUGCAGGGUAUAGACCCGAAACCCGGUGAUCUAGCCAUGGGCAGGUUGAAGGUUGGGUAACACUAACUGGAGGACCGAACCGACUAAUGUUGAAAAAUUAGCGGAUGACUUGUGGCUGGGGGUGAAAGGCCAAUCAAACCGGGAGAUAGCUGGUUCUCCCGAAAGCUAUUUAGGUAGCGCCUCGUGAAUUCAUCUCCGGGGUAGAGCACUGUUUCGGCAAGGGGUCAUCCCGACUUACCAACCCGAUGCAAACUGCGAAUACCGGAGAAUGUUAUCACGGGAGACACACGGCGGGUGCUAACGUCCGUCGUGAAGAGGGAAACAACCCAGACCGCCAGCUAAGGUCCCAAAGUCAUGGUUAAGUGGGAAACGAUGUGGGAAGGCCCAGACAGCCAGGAUGUUGGCUUAGAAGCAGCCAUCAUUUAAAGAAAGCGUAAUAGCUCACUGGUCGAGUCGGCCUGCGCGGAAGAUGUAACGGGGCUAAACCAUGCACCGAAGCUGCGGCAGCGACACUAUGUGUUGUUGGGUAGGGGAGCGUUCUGUAAGCCUGCGAAGGUGUACUGUGAGGUAUGCUGGAGGUAUCAGAAGUGCGAAUGCUGACAUAAGUAACGAUAAAGCGGGUGAAAAGCCCGCUCGCCGGAAGACCAAGGGUUCCUGUCCAACGUUAAUCGGGGCAGGGUGAGUCGACCCCUAAGGCGAGGCCGAAAGGCGUAGUCGAUGGGAAACAGGUUAAUAUUCCUGUACUUGGUGUUACUGCGAAGGGGGGACGGAGAAGGCUAUGUUGGCCGGGCGACGGUUGUCCCGGUUUAAGCGUGUAGGCUGGUUUUCCAGGCAAAUCCGGAAAAUCAAGGCUGAGGCGUGAUGACGAGGCACUACGGUGCUGAAGCAACAAAUGCCCUGCUUCCAGGAAAAGCCUCUAAGCAUCAGGUAACAUCAAAUCGUACCCCAAACCGACACAGGUGGUCAGGUAGAGAAUACCAAGGCGCUUGAGAGAACUCGGGUGAAGGAACUAGGCAAAAUGGUGCCGUAACUUCGGGAGAAGGCACGCUGAUAUGUAGGUGAAGUCCCUCGCGGAUGGAGCUGAAAUCAGUCGAAGAUACCAGCUGGCUGCAACUGUUUAUUAAAAACACAGCACUGUGCAAACACGAAAGUGGACGUAUACGGUGUGACGCCUGCCCGGUGCCGGAAGGUUAAUUGAUGGGGUUAGCGGUAACGCGAAGCUCUUGAUCGAAGCCCCGGUAAACGGCGGCCGUAACUAUAACGGUCCUAAGGUAGCGAAAUUCCUUGUCGGGUAAGUUCCGACCUGCACGAAUGGCGUAAUGAUGGCCAGGCUGUCUCCACCCGAGACUCAGUGAAAUUGAACUCGCUGUGAAGAUGCAGUGUACCCGCGGCAAGACGGAAAGACCCCGUGAACCUUUACUAUAGCUUGACACUGAACAUUGAGCCUUGAUGUGUAGGAUAGGUGGGAGGCUUUGAAGUGUGGACGCCAGUCUGCAUGGAGCCGACCUUGAAAUACCACCCUUUAAUGUUUGAUGUUCUAACGUUGGCCCCUAAUCGGGGUUGCGGACAGUGUCUGGUGGGUAGUUUGACUGGGGCGGUCUCCUCCUAAAGAGUAACGGAGGAGCACGAAGGUUGGCUAAUCCUGGUCGGACAUCAGGAGGUUAGUGCAAUGGCAUAAGCCAGCUUGACUGCGAGCGUGACGGCGCGAGCAGGUGCGAAAGCAGGUCAUAGUGAUCCGGUGGUUCUGAAUGGAAGGGCCAUCGCUCAACGGAUAAAAGGUACUCCGGGGAUAACAGGCUGAUACCGCCCAAGAGUUCAUAUCGACGGCGGUGUUUGGCACCUCGAUGUCGGCUCAUCACAUCCGGGGCUGAAGUAGGUCCCAAGGGUAUGGCUGUUCGCCAUUUAAAGUGGUACGCGAGCUGGGUUUAGAACGUCGUGAGACAGUUCGGUCCCUAUCUGCCGUGGGCGCUGGAGAACUGAGGGGGCUGCUCCUAGUACGAGAGGACCGGAGUGGACGCAUCACUGGUGUUCGGGUUGUCAUGCCAAUGGCACUGCCCGGUAGCUAAAUGCGGAAGAGAUAAGUGCUGAAAGCAUCUAAGCACGAAACUUGCCCCGAGAUGAGUUCUCCUGACUCCUGAGAGUCCUGAAGGAACGUUGAAGACGACGACGUUGAUAGGCCGGGUGUGUAAGCGCAGCGAUGCGUUGAGCUAACCGGUACUAAUGAACCGUGAGGCUUAACCU
rnacentral:rRNA from 1 species